AUUGAACGCUGGCGGAAUGCUUUACACAUGCAAGUCGAACGGUAGAGGGGGCAACCCCUCGAGAGUGGCGAACGGGUGAGUAAUAUAUCGGAACGUGCCCAGUCGUGGGGGAUAACGUAGCGAAAGUUACGCUAAUACCGCAUACGAUCUAAGGAUGAAAGCGGGGGAUCGCAAGACCUCGCGCGAUUGGAGCGGCCGAUAUCCGAUUAGGUAGUUGGUGGGGUAAAGGCUCACCAAGCCAACGAUCUGUGGCUGGUCUGAGAGGACGACCAGCCACACUGGAACUGAGACACGGUCCAGACUCCUACGGGAGGCAGCAGUGGGGAAUUUUGGACAAUGGACGCAAGUCUGAUCCAGCCAUUCCGCGUGCAGGAUGAAGGCCCUCGGGUUGUAAACUGCUUUUGUACGGAACGAAAAGGUCUCUCUUAAUACGGGGGGCUCAUGACGGUACCGUAAGAAUAAGCACCGGCUAACUACGUGCCAGCAGCCGCCGUAA
rnacentral:rRNA from 1 species